GGUUUUUUUCUUUAAUUAGAGAAUUUUAUUUGUUUUUAAAAAAUUUUUCCAUCUUGACCAUUGCAAGGGUUUAAACCAUUUGCAUGGGGAACCCUGAGCAGUCAUUUAAAAAAACAAAAUUGCCUGUGACUUUGACUCCAACAAGCACGUGAGUUCCUUGUCUGUGAAACCGCCAAGACAAGCCUGACACAGGCAGAAUAAGGGACUGUCACUCUGGCGUGGUUAGCUUAACACCAGGUCAGGCUUUCACUCCUCACUCUUCCCUCUUUCUCUCUCUCAGGCUGCCAUCUGCUGAGGGGCAUUGUCCCCUCUGGUCCCAGAUUGUGGACCUUGUGCCCCCCAUGCCCCCCCUGUCACCUCCUCUCACUCAGGAUACCUGGACAGCACAGGACGCACCUGAGGACUCGGGACAAGGACAGGUUCAAGUCAGAGGCUCUUCAAGAUUGGAGGUGGGAAGAGAGAAACACCAGUGAGCCUGGGCCUUUCUCCCCCACAUGCUCGGAUGUGCGGGAAACACACACCACUUGUCUUUCCGAGACUGGGUUUUUCUCUGAGUUUGAAGAGGCUCAUUUGUGCUGGAGGCGGGAGAUAAGACGCCACACCAGGCCAGGCCUUGAUGAAGCUGAAAUGGAUUUCUUCUGGAGCAGAAAUCCCAGCAGCCCCCAUCACUUCCCCGGAGAGGACCUCCUUCCAGUCUCCACCUCGGGCUCCGAGCACAGGCAGGUCUGGGGUCUUCCUGGGAAGGCAGAGUAGUGGGUGCGCUGGGCAGGGAGCUCACAAAGUCUCAGAAUCAAGAGGGGGUCCCGUAAAGGGAUGUACCCAGGCCAUUGAGGCAGUGGGGCCUGGGGGUGGGGAGCAGCCAGGGCUCCACUGCGGAACCAGGAGGGACAGGGACAGAAGGCGGCCUUUAAAAUUCCCCGUGAGGGGCCCCCUUUCCCUAACCGCCCCCAGGAGUGUUGAGAAAGGGCAUGGGAAGCAGAGAGGAGAGAGCUUGAAGGCAGGAGCUGUUUCCACUCUUGAGGAGG